rnacentral:rRNA from 1 species
AUUGAACGCUGGCGGCAGGCCUAACACAUGCAAGUCGAGCGAGCGGCGGACGGGUGAGUAAUGUCUGGGAAACUGCCUGAUGGAGGGGGAUAACUACUGGAAACGGUAGCUAAUACCGCAUACCAUCAGAUGUGCCCAGAUGGGAUUAGCUAGUAGGUGGGUUAAUGGCUCACCUAGGCGACGCGCCCUAGCUGGUCUGAGAGGAUGACCCGCAACACGGGAAUUGAGACAGGGUCCAGACUCCUGCGGGAGGCAGCAGUGGGGAAUAUUGCACAAUGGGCGCAAGCCUGAUGCAGCCAUGCCGCGUGUGUGAAGAAGGCCUUGGGGUGGUAAAGCACUUUCAGCGGGGAGGCGUUACCCGCAGAAGAAGCACCGGCUAACUCCGUGCCAGCAGCCGCGGUAAUUC